rnacentral:lncRNA from 1 species
UUAGCCUAUGCUUUUCAGAUGAAAUUCGGCAGUACAACAAAUGUUAACCUAAUACGUAAAGUAGAACCUAAAGGGAGAAGUCACAAAUCAACUUAUGAACAAAGGCCAAACUAAAAAGAUACUAAUAUUCCAUCCUUAACAGGACGUUAGAGACUUCACUUAAUCCACAUUGCAUCCAGUCCUUGGAACAUAUCAUAUACCAUUACCGAUCUAGCGAGUUUAUUCACAAAAAUUAGUUUAAAUUUUGGAGUUCAGCUUGCAGAGCAAUCUUUUUCAAAUUCGAAUCCACAUGGGGCAAAACCUCAGACGCUCCUACAAGCGACAAUCAUUACCACCUGUCUAUUACCAACCAUUAUGUGAUUUUAUGAUCAAUCAAACGAGAAAUCAAGUUGAAAAUGAAAUCAAUUAAUUACCAGGUCCGAAGAGACUAACGACAGAGGAAGGGAAAGGUUUCGUGUGAACAACAACAAGCUUGAAUGGGGAGUUAGUAGAAGAGAUUGGAACGAGGAGAUGAUCUAAAGUUCACUCAAAAGCGUGGUGGAGCUUCUACUGUCGUAAUGGAGAGUCGUGCGAGGUAGAGUACGUGGAGCUCAGCCAAGCGAUGAUUUGAAAAAAAUUGGAGAAGGAGAAGAAGAAGGUAUCGUGGGUAUGGAGAGAGAAG